rnacentral:rRNA from 1 species
UAGGGAAUCUUCCACAAUGGACGCAAGUCUGAUGGAGCAACGCCGCGUGAGUGAAGAAGGUUUUCGGACCGUAAAGCUCUGUUGUUGGUGAAGAAGGAUAGAGGUAGUAACUGGCCUUUAUUUGACGGUAAUCAACCAGAAAGUCACGGCUAACUACGUGCCAGCAGCCGCGGUAAUCGUAGGUGGCAAGCGUUGUCCGGAUUUAUUGGGCGUAAAGCGAGCGCAGGCGGAAGAAUAAGUCUGAUGUGAAAGCCCUCGGCUUAACCGAGGAAUUGCAUCGGAAACUGUUUUCUUGAGUGCAGAAGAGGAGAGUAGAACUCCAUGUGUAGCGGUGGAAUGCGUAGAUAUAUGGAAGAAUACCAGUGGCGAAGGCGGCUCUCUGGUCUGCAAACUGACGCUGAGGCUCGAAAGCAUGGUAGCGAACAGGAUUAGAUACCCUGGUAGUCCAUGCCGUAAACGAUGAGUGCUAAGUGUUGGGAGGCUUCCGCCUCUCAGUGCUGCAGCUAACGCAUUAAGCACUCCGCCUGGGGGAGUACGACCGCAAGGUUGAAAC